GUUCGAAGCAUUUCCGUGCUACAGAUAUUAAGGUAACAGUAACUGGAAAACGAUGUCUCACACAUGGAGCUGUCCCUAUUAAUACAACAUUUGGAAGCAGUGUUGAUGAAAAGGUUGUGCCGUCUCAAAGGUUCCCCCUUCGAGAAAUUGUCAGUGAAGGAAAUUUUAUAGAUGUUGCUAUAAAACAUCUUCAAUCACAUGUUGUCCCUGUUCCAUAAGAGACGAGCUGUCAAUGCUAUGAGCUCAAAAUUCAGUUUAUUUUUGUUGCGUACAUUUAAAUCGUGCUUGGAACAUGUUUAUUUUCCCAUACGAUUAAAUGUUGUUCAAUGUAAAUUCAUUUUUCCGUUACUUUUAGUACAAAUAUGUUUUGUUUUCUUUGCAUUGUUUAUAUUCCAGCAGAUUUUAAUGAAAUAUAUUUUUGCUCCUUU